rnacentral:tRNA from 1 species
GCUCCUGGAGUCUCCGUUGGCGAGGGACGCUGCCCUUUCAAGGCAGAGGUCGAGGGUUCGAUUCCCUUCGGGAGCA